CGCACUAGUCGGGGAGAUAGCGGUGCCCUAUACCUGCAAUCCGCUACAGCAGGGAUGAAUCCCCACACCCGGGUACGCAAAGUACCGUCCGGACUGUGUAAGCGGUGUUGAAGGAAUGGUCUUACGCAACGAAAUUCCGUGAACCAUGUCAGGUGGGGAACCAAGAAGCAUUAAGCGGAGCGUUUCGUGUGCCGUGAGGUUGCCAUUCCCGAGCUGGCUGCAUAGAUACCGGGU
rnacentral:SRP_RNA from 1 species